UUCAUCCUUCAGCCCCUGUGUCUGACCAGCUGUUGGCAGUAGACUCUCUUACUUGGGAAAAGGAGGUACGGGGACCCCAAAAGUGUCAUCUGUCUGUUCUGGAGGAAUGCAUGAGAGUAUACAGACUCUGGGGCCAGCGAGACGGCUCAGCAGGGAGAGGCAGGGGCCUCGGAAGCUGAUCACCUGAGUCUUAUUUCCAGCUCCCACACGAUGGAAGGAGAAAGCCAACUUCCAAAAGAUGUCUUCUGACCUGCGCUCGUGCACCCAUGCAGGGAAGGCUGGAGUGGAUGUUGUCUAACAACCUGCUGAUCUUCUGCUGGUCUACGGAGCCAGGCUUCACCUGAAUCCACCAAAAUCCUGAGCAUUGUCUAGACCCUAAUCCUGGGCUUUGUCUCUCAGUGAAGACCCAUGAUCAUGAUGGCUCUUUGCAUUUUCAACGUACAGAACCCAUCCUUAUGCCUACUACAAAUCUCUCCUCCUUACACCCUUGUCUGCAUGCUGUUUCUCUGUGAACAACAACCAUUCUUACUCAUUUAAGACAUGUACUUUGCAAGGGAGUUUCCAUGUAACUACAUCUAAAGCUUUGUUGUGAUAAUUGUCUUGUAGAAACCUUUCCCCAAAUGUUUGCUGUGCUUAAAUGUGUAAGGAUAAUAAACUGCUCUCAG